UACGUAGGGUGCGAGCGUUAAUCGGAAUUACUGGGCGUAAAGCGUGCGUAGGCGGUUCGUUAUGUCUGCUGUGAAAGCCCCGGGCUUAACCUGGGAAUGGCAGUGGAAACUGGCGGGCUUGAGUGUGGCAGAGGGGGGUGGAAUUCCGCGUGUAGCAGUGAAAUGCGUAGAGAUGUGGAGGAAUACCGAUGGCGAAGGCAGCCUCCUGGGCCAACACUGACGCUCAUGCACGAAAGCGUGGGGAGCAAACAGG
rnacentral:rRNA from 1 species